GCAAGUAGAACGCUGAAGCUUGGUGCUUGCACCGAGCGGAUGAGUUGCGAACGGGUGGGUAACGCGUAGGUAACCUGCCUCUUAGCGGGGGAUAACUAUUGGAAACGAUAGCUAAUACCGCAUAAAAGACGAUAUCGCAUGAUGUUGAUUUGAAAGGUGCAAUUGCAUCACUAAGAGAUGGACCUGCGUUGUAUUAGCUAGUUGGUGAGGUAACGGCUCACCAAGGCGACGAUACAUAGCCGACCUGAGAGGGUGAUCGGCCACACUGGGACUGAGACACGGCCCAGACUCCUACGGGAGGCAGCAGUAGGGAAUCUUCGGCAAUGGGGGCAAUCCUGACCGAGCAACGCCGCGUGAGUGAAGAAGGUUUUCGGAUCGUAAAGCUCUGUUGUAAGAGAAGAACGAGUGUGAGAGUGGAAAGUUCACACUGUGACGGUAACUUACCAGAAAGGGACGGCUAACUACGUGCCAGCAGCCGCGGUAAUACGUAGGUCCCGAGCGUUAUCCGGAUUUAUUGGGCGUAAAGCGAGCGCAGGCGGUUAGAUAAGUCUGAAGUUAAAGGCUGUGGCUUAACCAUAGUACGCUUUGGAAACUGUUUAACUUGAGUGCAGAAGGGGAGAGUGGAAUUCCAUGUGUAGCGGUGAAAUGCGUAGAUAUAUGGAGGAACACCGGUGGCGAAAGCGGCUCUCUGGUCUGUAACUGACGCUGAGGCUCGAAAGCGUGGGGAGCAA
rnacentral:rRNA from 1 species